GAUGAACGCUGGCGGCGUGCCUAACACAUGCAAGUCGAACGAUGAAACCGCCCUCGGGCGGACAUGAAGUGGCGAACGGGUGAGUAACACGUGACCAACCUGCCCCUUGCUCCGGGACAACCUUGGGAAACCGAGGCUAAUACCGGAUACUCCUCGCCCCCCUCCUGGGGGGCCCGGGAAAGCCCGGACGGCAAGGGAUGGGGUCGCGGCCCAUUAGGUAGUAGGCGGGGUAACGGCCCACCUAGCCUGCGAUGGGUAGCCGGGUUGAGAGACCGACCGGCCACAUUGGGACUGAGAUACGGCCCAGACUCCUACGGGAGGCAGCAGUGGGGAAUUUUGCGCAAUGGGGGCAACCCUGACGCAGCAACGCCGCGUGCGGGACGACGGCCUUCGGGUUGUAAACCGCUUUCAGCAGGGAAGAAAUUCGACGGUAC
rnacentral:rRNA from 1 species